AGAGUUUGAUCCUGGCUCAGAUUGAACGCUGGCGGAAUGCUUUACACAUGCAAGUCGAACGAUGAACCUUAGCUUGCUAAGGGGAUUAGUGGCGAACGGGUGAGUAAUAUAUCGGAACGUGCCUUGUAAUGGGGGAUAACUAGUCGAAAGAUUAGCUAAUACCGCAUACGCCCUGAGGGGGAAAGUAGGGGAUCUUCGGACCUUACGUUAUAAGAGCGGCCGAUAUCUGAUUAGCUAGUUGGUGGGGUAAUGGCCUACCAAGGCGACGAUCAGUAGCUGGUCUGAGAGGACGACCAGCCACACUGGAACUGAGACACGGUCCAGACUCCUACGGGAGGCAGCAGUGGGGAAUUUUGGACAAUGGGCGCAAGCCUGAUCCAGCCAUUCCGCGUGAGUGAAGAAGGCCUUCGGGUUGUAAAGCUCCUUCGCAAGGGAAGAAAACUUACAUUCUAAUAAAGUGUGAGGCUGACGGUACCUUGAUAAGAAGCACCGGCUAACUACGUGCCAGCAGCCGCGGUAAUACGUAGGGUGCGAGCGUUAAUCGGAAUUACUGGGCGUAAAGCGUGCGCAGGCGGUUUGGCAAGUCAGAUGUGAAAUCCCCGAGCUCAACUUGGGAACUGCGUUUGAAACUGCCAGACUAGAAUAUGUCAGAGGGGGGUAGAAUUCCACGUGUAGCAGUGAAAUGCGUAGAGAUGUGGAGGAAUACCAAUGGCGAAGGCAGCCCCCUGGGAUAAUAUUGACGCUCAUGCACGAAAGCGUGGGGAGCAAACAGGAUUAGAUACCCUGGUAGUCCACGCCCUAAACGAUGUCUACUAGUUGUUGGUGGAGUAAAAUCCAUGAGUAACGCAGCUAACGCGUGAAGUAGACCGCCUGGGGAGUACGGUCGCAAGAUUAAACUCAAAGGAAUUGACGG
rnacentral:rRNA from 1 species